AGCGAACGCUGGCGGCAGGCCUAACACAUGCAAGUCGAACGAACUCUUCGGAGUUAGUGGCGGACGGGUUAGUAACACGUGGGAACGUGCCCUUUUGUACGGAAUAACUCAGGGAAACUUGAGCUAAUACCGUAUGUGCCCUUCGGGGGAAAGAUUUAUCGCCAUUGGAGCGGCCCGCGUCUGAUUAGCUAGUUGUUGAGGUAAAGGCUCACCAAGGCUACGAUCAGUAGCUGGUCUGAGAGGAUGAUCAGCCACAUUGGGACUGAGACACGGCCCAAACUCCUACGGGAGGCAGCAGUGGGGAAUCUUGCGCAAUGGGCGAAAGCCUGACGCAGCCAUGCCGCGUGAAUGAUGAAGGUCUUAGGAUUGUAAAAUUCUUUCACCGGGGACGAUAAUGACGGUACCCGGAGAAGAAGCCCCGGCUAACUUCGUG
rnacentral:rRNA from 1 species